rnacentral:rRNA from 1 species
UACGUAGGCAGCGAGCGUUGUUCGGAGUUACUGGGCGUAAAGGGUGCGUAGGCGGUUGUUUAAGUUUGGUGUGAAAUCUCCCGGCUCAACUGGGAGGGUGCGCCGAAUACUGAAUGACUAGAGUGCGGGAGAGGAUAGUGGAAUUCCUGGUGUAGCGGUGAAGUGCGUAGAUAUCAGGAGGAACACCGGUGGUGUAGACGGCUAUCUGGACCGUAACUGACGCUGAGGCACGAAAGCGUGGGUAGCAAACAGG